AUCAAUGGCAGAAAAUAAAGUGAUCACUUUUAUACAUGAACUUUCUAUUGUAGAACUCAAGUUAUAUACAAUUGAUUGCUAAACAAACCAAAUUUUGCAAGACUUAUAGUAACUGCUGUGUUCUGAGAGAAAAAUAUGAGUUUUAGUUUUGUGAAAUACAAGAGUCAUGUUGAAGAUGGAGACACUGUCAUUUUAUACAUGG